AGAGUUUGAUCAUGGCUCAGAUUGAACGCUGGCGGAAUGCUUUACACAUGCAAGUCGGGCGGCAGCGCGGGGGCAACCCUGGCGGCGAGCGGCGAACGGGUGAGUAAUGCAUCGGAACGUACCCCGUCGUGGGGGAUAACGAGUCGAAAGAUUCGCUAAUACCGCAUACGACCUGAGGGUGAAAGCGGGGGACCGGUAACGGCCUCGCGCGAUGGGAGCGGCCGAUGCCCGAUUAGCUAGUUGGUGAGGUAAAGGCUCACCAAGGCGACGAUCGGUAGCUGGUCUGAGAGGAUGAUCAGCCACACUGGGACUGAGACACGGCCCAGACUCCUACGGGAGGCAGCAGUGGGGAAUUUUGGACAAUGGGGGCAACCCUGAUCCAGCCAUUCCGCGUGAGUGAAGAAGGCCUUCGGGUUGUAAAGCUCUUUCGGCAGGGAAGAAACGGUUCGGGUCAAUACCCUGAGCUAAUGACGGUACCUGAAGAAGAAGCACCGGCUAACUACGUGCCAGCAGCCGCGGUAAUACGUAGGGUGCGAGCGUUAAUCGGAAUUACUGGGCGUAAAGCGUGCGCAGGCGGUUGUGUAAGACAGGUGUGAAAUCCCCGGGCUCAACCUGGGAAUGGCGCUUGUGACUGCACGACUGGAGUGCGGCAGAGGGGGGUGGAAUUCCACGUGUAGCAGUGAAAUGCGUAGAGAUGUGGAGGAACACCGAUGGCGAAGGCAGCCCCCUGGGUCGACACUGACGCUCAGGCACGAAAGCGUGGGGAGCAAACAGGAUUAGAUACCCUAGUAGUCC
rnacentral:rRNA from 1 species